CGACCCCAGGUCAGGCGGGGCUACCCGCUGAGUU
rnacentral:rRNA from 1 species